rnacentral:rRNA from 1 species
GAUGAACGCUGGCGGCGUGCCUAAUACAUGCAAGUCGAACGCAGUGGGGACGGGUGAGUAACAUGUGGGUAACCUCCCAUCAGAGGGGAUAAAACUUGGAAACAGGUGCUAAUCCGAUACUGAUGGAUGGACCCGGGGUGCAUUAGCUAGUUGGUGGGGUAACGGCUUACCAAGGCCACGAUGCAUAGCCGGACUGAGAGGGUGAUCGGCCACACUGGGACUGAGACACGGCCCAGACUCCUACGGGAGGCAGCAGUGGGGAAUAUUCGGCAAUGGACGCAAGUCUGAUCGAGCAACGCCGCGUGUGUGAAGAAGGUUUUCGGAUCGUAAAACUCUGUUGUUAGAGAAGCGGUAUCUAACCAGAAAGCCACGGCUAACUACGUGCCAGCAGCCGCGGUAAUAC